rnacentral:rRNA from 1 species
GAUGAACGCUGGCGGCGUGCCUAAUACAUGCAAGUCGAGCGAACAGACGAGGAGCUUGCUCCUCUGACGUUAGCGGCGGACGGGUGAGUAACACGUGGAUAACCUACCUAUAAGACUGGGAUAACUUCGGGAAACCGGAGCUAAUACCGGAUAAUAUAUUUAACCGCAUGGUUCAAUAGUGAAAGACGGUUUUGCUGUCUCUUCUAGAUGGAUCCGCGCCGCAUUAGCUAGUUGGUAAGGUAACGGCUUACCAAGGCGACGAUGCGUAGCCGACCUGAGAGGGGGAUCGGCCACACUGGAACUGAGACACGGUCCAGACUCCUACGGGAGGCAGCAGUAGGGAAUCUGCCGCAAUGGGCGAAAGCCUGACGGAGCAACGCCGCGUGAGUGAUGAAGGUCUUCGGAUCGUAAAACUCUGUUAUUAGGGAAGAACAAAUGUGUAAGUAACUAUGCACGUCUUGACGGUACCUAAUCAGAAAGCCACGGCUAACUACGUG